rnacentral:lncRNA from 1 species
CACCACUCCCUAAUAAACCUCUAUUUCACCUUGUCCCCCAAACCCUUACAUUAUAGGAUAUAAUAUUCAUAAUAAACCCACUAUUUUCCUGUCGUUUUGCCUUUUUUUCACCUCAACAAUACCUUUUCUUUAUCUUGUCUCUCCAGUAGCACAAUUUUCUGUAACAACUCCUGUUCAUCCCCCCCAUUCCAAGUUCCAAUAUAACCUUUGCCUAUGAACUUUUAUCAUAACAACUAAUGAAUUCAUCACAUGGAACUUGAGACAUGAUGGUCGAUUCAGAGCACACUAACCUCUCCCCUUCCUCUAGAAGACCAGAGAAAUCCCCCAAAGCCGAAGGUUCAGACAUCACCGAGUUUGUUCUACAUGUCAAGUGUCUUUUCCCCUUAUAUUUGCCUUUCAGAGUACCACCCAGUUUAGAUUUAAAAAGUUUUGUUUUUUACUUUGUUGCAUACUGACACUCCCUAUUCUCUUGGCAAUGUCAUCAUUAGUUCUUGUAUCACGAGUGCCAUAACCCCCUUCCCUUUUACCUCCUUGUUAUUAUGUCCAGCCAUGUUUAUUUUCUACUACUAAUUCAAACAUAUCUCAUAAGAUUUUAUUGACUUUUCAUAAAAAAAAAUACGUUACAUCAAGAACAAAUAAUUAUACGUUAUAGCAACUAGCAAGUUACAUUCUUUUAUAUCAAAG